GUCUACAGCCAUACUAUCCUAAACACGACCAAUCUUGUCUGAUCUUGGAAGCUAAGCAGGAUCAGGCUUGGUUAGUACUUGUAUGGGAGACAGAAAGGGAGGGGGGCACAAGCACACUGACUCCU